UGGCGGACGGGUGAGUAACACGUUGGAACCUGCCCCGAAGAGGGGGAUAACUACCCGAAAGGGUGGCCAAUACCCCAUAUACUCCGAUUUAUUCGGAGGAAAGCUUUUGCGCUUCGGGAGGGGCCUGCGUCCGAUUAGGUAGUUGGAGGGGUAACGGCCCACCAAGCCUAUGAUCGGUAGCCGACCUGAGAGGGUGAUCGGCCACAUUGGAACUGAGAUACGGCCCAGACUCCUACGGGAGGCAGCAGUGAGGAAUAUUCCACAAUGGGGGAAACCCUGAUGGAGCGAUGCCGCGUGCAGGAAGACGCUUUUCGGAGUGUAAACUGCUUUUAAUAGGGAAGAUCAUGACGGUACCUAUAGAAUAAGGACCGGCUAACUACGUGCCAGCAGCCGCGGUAAUA
rnacentral:rRNA from 1 species